UACGGAGGUGGCGAGCGUUGUCCGGAAUUAUUGGGCGUAAAGAGCUCGUAGGCGGUUCGUGCGCGUCUGCUGUGAAAACUCAGGGCUUAACUCUGGGCGUGCAGGUGGGGUACGGGAGGCUAGAGUGCGGUAGGGGAGGACUGGGAAUUCCUGGUGUAGCGGUGAAAUGCGCAGAUAUCAGGAGGAACACCAGGUGGCGAAAG
rnacentral:rRNA from 1 species